GACAGAGGGUGCAAACGUUGUUCGGAAUUACUGGGCGUAAAGCGGUGCGCAGGCGGUUGGUUAAGUCUGAUGUGAAAGCCCCGGGCUCAACCUGGGAAUGGCAUUGGAAACUGUCCAGCUGGAGUGUGGCAGAGGGGGGUAGAAUUCCACGUGUAGCAGUGAAAUGCGUAGAGAUGUGGAGGAACACCGAUGGCGAAGGCAGCCCCCUGGGUCAAGAUUGACGCUCAUGCACGAAAGCGUGGGGAGCAAACAGG
rnacentral:rRNA from 1 species